rnacentral:piRNA from 1 species
UAAGAAACCACUCCUGUGAUCCAGAA